UGGGGGAUAUUGCACAAUGGGGGAAACCCUGAUGCAGCGACGCCGCGUGAGUGAAGAAGUAUUUCGGUAUGUAAAGCUCUAUCAGCAGGGAAGAAACUGACGGUACCUGACUAAGAAGCCCCGGCUAACUACGUGCCAGCAGCCGCGGUAAUACGUAGGGGGCAAGCGUUAUCCGGAUUUACUGGGUGUAAAGGGAGCGUAGACGGUAUUGCAAGUCUGAAGUGAAAUCCCGGGGCUCAACCCCGGAGCUGCUUUGGAAACUGUAAAACUAGAGUGCUGGAGAGGUAAGCGGAAUUCCUAGUGUAGCGGUGAAAUGCGUAGAUAUUAGGAGGAACACCAGUGGCGAAGGCGGCUUACUGGACAGUCACUGACGUUGAGGCUCGAAAGCGUGGGGAGCAAACA
rnacentral:rRNA from 1 species